rnacentral:rRNA from 1 species
AGAGUUUGAUCCUGGCUCAGGACGAACGCUGGCGGCGUGCCUAACACAUGCAAGUCGAGCGGGAACCUCAGGAGGGGUAACCCUUCUGAGGGGAGAGCGGCGAACGGGUGAGUAACACGUGGGUAACCCACCCUUGAGACCGGGAUACCCUCUCGAAAGGGAGGCUAAUACUGGACACGUUCCCUGGGACGCAAGAUCUGGGGAGGAAAGGUGGCGAAAGCUGCCGCUCUUGGAGGGGCUCGCGGCCUAUCAGCUAGUUGGUGAGGUAACGGCUCACCAAGGCUAUGACGGGUAGCUGGUCUGAGAGGACGACCAGCCACACGGGAACUGAGACACGGUCCCGACUCCUACGGGAGGCAGCAGUGGGGAAUUUUCCGCAAUGGGCGAAAGCCUGACGGAGUGACGCCGCGUGGGGGACGAAGGCCUUCGGGUCGUAAACCCCUGUCAGAGGGAAAGAAGGGUGUCGGCGUGAAUAGCGCCGGCAUCUGACGGUACCUUCAGAGGAAGCCCCGGCCAACUCUGUGCCAGCAGCCGCGGUAAU